rnacentral:rRNA from 1 species
UACGUAGGGCGCAAGCGUUGUCCGGAAUUAUUGGGCGUAAAGAGCUCGUAGGCGGCUUGUCACGUCGGGUGCGAAAGCCCGGGGCUUAACCCCGGGUCUGCAUUCGAUACGGGCUAGCUAGAGUGUGGUAGGGGAGAUCGGAAUUCCUGGUGUAGCGGUGAAAUGCGCAGAUAUCAGGAGGAACACCGGUGGCGAAGGCGGAUCUCUGGGCCAUUACUGACGCUGAGGAGCGAAAGCGUGGGGAGCGAACAGG